rnacentral:lncRNA from 1 species
AGCAACUUAUAAGACUGUAGAUCUUAGGUCACUUAAGAAAGUUGACCGCAAUCUGCAAUCACAACAGGCUUUGAGGUCCUUCCGGAGCUAGACCCGACCUUUUCGAUGGCCUUCACAACAUCCAUACCUUCCACGACCUGACCGAACACGACAUGCUUUCCGUCCAGCCACUCGGUCUUCGCAACGCAAAUAAAGAACUGAGAUCCGUUAGUUCCGGGACCAGCAUUAGCCAUGGAAAGGAUGCCAGGGCCAGUGUGCUUCUUGACGAAGUUCUC